GCACGGGAACAUUCCUCGUUUCUUGUUUCCUCCCCCUGCCUUGACCUUGGGCCCAUUUGCGAUCCCGUUGCGCAAACGGGUCUCGCAACCCAGCUCCUGUUUCCAGCAGAAAAUCCUCGCCUCUGGAGGGGCAGGCAGAGGCCAGCCCUGCCCUGGCACCAGCCUGGGCUCCAGCAAAUCCACAGAGAUUUUCAGCAGCCUCCUCCCAGCUCUCUGAAACCCAGUGGAACCUUCUCUGCAUUUAGGGAGGAGGGGAUGGCACAAUUCCUGCGUGCUGCUGGGCAGUGCUGCUCACGUGGAGCUGGAGCUGCUCCGCACCGAGAUGAUUUCCUGAGCCGGAGCCUCCCCUGGGAGCUGGAGUGGAUCCAGGAGAGGGUUAUUCCGGAUAAUUGCCCUGCUGGAGCUGCUCGUGUCCAGCUCUCUAGAAACACAUCCCGGCGUCUCCAUGGAAGGCUCCAGAAAGAGAAAGCCUGGAAGUGUUGGUUCACCUUGGAAUUUCUAUAAUUCUCUGAGUGCGAUGGCCAGAAAAGCCUGGCUUAUCCAUUUAUCCCACCAACAUCAUGGAAGUGCCUUUUGAUCCUGCUUUUUUUGUUGUUCCAGUGCCACAUUGAAGAACCAUGAGUUGAGUAUUUCUGGUGCUGCCUUUCACUGACCUGAGGAUGGAACAAAGAUUAGGAAUUACCAUUUUCAUCAAAAUUCGUGUUCAUUUUGAAAAUAAAUCAGAUUUUUCACGGUGUGUCUGCA
rnacentral:lncRNA from 1 species